rnacentral:rRNA from 1 species
GUGGAGAAUAUUGCACAAUGGGCGCAAGCCUGAUGCAGCAACGCCGCGUGAGGGAUGACGGCCUUCGGGUUGUAAACCUCUUUUAGUAGGGAAGAAGCGAAAGUGACGGUACCUGCAGAAAAAGCACCGGCUAACUACGUGCCAGCAGCCGCGGUAAUACGUAGGGGGCAAGCGUUGUCCGGAAUUAUUGGGCGUAAAGAGCUCGUAGGCGGCUUGUCGCGUCUGCUGUGAAAUCCCGGGGCUCAACCCCGGGCCUGCAGUGGGUACGGGCAGGCUAGAGUGCGGUAGGGGAGAUUGGAAUUCCUGGUGUAGCGGUGGAAUGCGCAGAUAUCAGGAGGAACACCGAUGGCGAAGGCAGAUCUCUGGGCCGUAACUGACGCUGAGGAGCGAAAGCAUGGGGAGCGAACAGGAUUAGAAACCCUUGUAGUCC